ACAAAUCCGAUUGUUUGCAUCUUGCGAUUUAUUUUGCUAGGGUUCAGUUGCUUUUGGUUUUCUUUCUUUUCCCCUUUACAGUUUUAUUGUCUAAUUUAUUCAUUUUUUGUUUUGUAUAAAGAUCAAAAAUGUGAUCAAUGGGUGUGGCAGUGGGAGCUCAUGACUAUUGAAACCGUUAUUUUGUAGAUUUGUGGCCUUGAUAGUAAAGUCAUGAGAGAUAUAAUAAAUCGAAAUAAAGUGAAUAUGAUCAAGCACAUAAUGAGAACAAAUAUUAAGAAUUAAGAUAAUGAAAUAAAGUAUCCAUAUAAAGGGAGAAUCGGCUGGUGUACGAAAUCGUGAAGAAACACUAUGGGGAUCUUGGUAUGAAAUCAAAAGAUGCAAUAGGUUGAUGAGAAGGCUUCUGUUAAAAAGAACGAAGAAUCUAGCAGUGAAACAGUUUGACAUUUCAUGUGAUCACUAUUUGAAAAUAUGGCUAUGUCGAGAUCUACAAGAGUGUGAAGGUGUUACAGUGAAGAAGCAGUUUCGCUGUUUUUGGCCCAACAAGUCUUUCAUUCUAAUUUCUGUUCUCUCGCUAUGGCAUAUGGUCAUCAACACCAAGAUCAAAGCUGUUGUCACUCUCGCAUAUGGUCUUCAAUACGUAUGGUGGUUUACUCUAUGCUUUAAUUAAGACAAAUGGAAAGAUGAUGUUCUUACGACGGUAUUUUUCAUAGUUCAUGAGUGUUUUUUUCUCGCUCAGAUUCUCCACUUUUACUGACCACCGUUCUCUGUUUUUCUACAACUAUUCUACACAAGAGGUACUCACAACGAUAAAUCCAUGAGGUUCUUAUAGUGUUUUGAUUGA